UACGGGGGGGGGUAAGCGUUGUUCGGAAUUACUGGGCGUAAAGGGCUCGUAGGCGGCCAACUAAGUCGGACGUGAAAUCCCUCAGCUUAACUGGGGAACUGCGUCCGAUACUGGAUGGCUUGGAUUUGGGAGAGGGAUGCGGAAUUCCAGGUGUAGCGGUGAAAUGCGUAGAUAUCAGGAGGAACACCGGUGGCGAAGGCGGUUCUCUGGGCAUUACCUGACGCUGAGGAGCGAAAGUGUGGGGAGCGAACAGG
rnacentral:rRNA from 1 species